rnacentral:lncRNA from 1 species
CAGAGAUGAGUUGCACACUACCAUUUACACAUCAAGCUGCAGCUGAGGUUGAAGCUCAAGUCUUAUCAUCAGGGAAAACCCUCUGAAAGUGCUGGCAAAUGGUGACUGACGCAGAACUGGACACCACUUCGUAUCUUGUUUUUGCAGCAGAGAAUUUAGCAAGUUGGAAAGCAGUCCUUUUUGCACGUGGCUAACUUAAACAGAAGUUUCCGCACAUUCAGAGAUCUCUCAGCUCCCUUGCGUGUCCUAGUGUAUCCUGCACAUGGCACGGGUACCAUGCUCUCCUCACGUGGUAAGGACCUGUCCUCGGCAGAUACUGGGUGACGUUCACCUCCAAGAGACCCCGUCAUAACCAAAGGUACAAAGGAAGUAGCGAUGCACGUUUACUGAAAAAAAGAUGGAGAGAAGUGUGGGGAACACUCUCCACUGCAAGACACUCAAUUCAACCUUAAAAGCAGCAACUUUCUCCCAAAUAGCAAAGUGUAAAUAAAUUAACGAGCAAAAUAAGUGGUAGAUAAUAGGAAACAAGGAGACAGAUCUUGUGCAAAUGAGAAGAGGACCAAUGGAGAGGCCUGGG